UGGGGAAUAUUGGACAAUGGGCGAAAGCCUGAUCCAGCCAUGCCGCGUGUGUGAAGAAGGUCUUCGGAUUGUAAAGCACUUUAAGUUGGGAGGAAGGGCAGUAAGCGAAUACCUUGCUGUUUUGACGUUACCGACAGAAUAAGCACCGGCUAACUCUGUGCCAGCAGCCGCGGUAAUACAGAGGGUGCAAGCGUUAAUCGGAAUUACUGGGCGUAAAGCGCGCGUAGGUGGUUCGUUAAGUUGAAUGUGAAAGCCCCGGGCUCAACCUGGGAACUGCAUCCAAAACUGGCGAGCUAGAGUAGGGCAGAGGGUGGUGGAAGUUCCUGUGUAGCGGUGAAAUGCGUAGAUAUAGGAAGGAACACCAGUGACGAAGGCGAACACCUGGGCUCAUACUGACACUGAGGUGCGAAAGCGUGGGGAGCAAACAGG
rnacentral:rRNA from 1 species